GCCCCUAGCUCAGUCAGUAGAGUGUGAGACUCUGCAUCUCAGGGUCGUGGGUUUGAGCCCCACGUUGGGCA